UACAGAGGUCUCAAGCGUUGUUCGGAUUCAUUGGGCGUAAAGGGUGCGUAGGCGGUGCGGUACGUCGGGUGUGAAAUCUCGGAGCUUAACUCCGAAACUGCAUUCGAUACUGCCGUGCUUGAGGACUGGAGAGGAGACUGGAAUUUACGGUGUAGCGGUGAAAUGCGUAGAUAUCGUAAGGAAGACCAGUGGCGAAGGCGGGUCUCUGGACAGUUCCUGACGCUGAGGCACGAAGGUCAGGGGAGCAAACGGG
rnacentral:rRNA from 1 species